rnacentral:misc_RNA from 1 species
GACCCAUUUAACAAUUGCUCCGAAACUGAUCAUCUCCUCCUUCCAAAUCCCGUCAACAUUUGCUCCGGUCAUAGUACUAUCUCUCUCCGAUCUCUGCAAUUGAGAGGAGCUCAGCCAAAAUUCUCUGCACAGUUCUCAAGUAAGUAAUCUCUCUUCCAAUCUUCUCGUAUAAGCAUGAUCUAGUUUGAAUCCACGCUUCAGAUACAGAAAUUGUUAGCUUUAAGCAAGACUUUGUGUGCAAAAUUUAGCAAAGAUCUGGUGAAGAUCUACCCGAAAAAUGUCUUGUUUGGCACUUUCUCUGCAACCCACUAAUGG